rnacentral:rRNA from 1 species
AUGCGGAUACUUUCAGCUCAACACAGCUUAAAACAAAACCAAACAGUUUAUCGAUUGAUGCAGACUUCACGAACACAACUGACAUCUCAGAGAAGCAUGUGUAGAAUAAAGAUGGAAGUAAUUCGUCCGCAGUCAUCUCUGCACAUCGUUCAACCAGCAUAUAAACUGAUGCAUCUAUUCAUCCACACAACGCAAACGAUUUUUGAGGUAAAGUCCAUCGCAGCACUUAUUUGCAUACGAUCAGCAUCAGGCAAGGCAAGAGUCAUUUAUAGCAUAAUAAUUCGAUUAAAAACUGCAAAUGGAAGAGCAAAGCUAUGUAUAAUCUUGGGGGGUGAUGUGCAUCACAAGUCAUAUAAGAAGACAUGUAUCUAUUCCUUUGUUCCUCUCCUUAUUCUCAUCUAUACUUGCCACAAGAGCAAGAGCACUGUAUUAUAG